rnacentral:rRNA from 1 species
UACAGAGGUCUCGAGCGUUAGGCGGAAUCACUGGGCUUAAAGCGUGUGUAGGUGGAUUGGUAAGUACCUUGUGAAAUCCCACGGCUCAACCGUGGAACUGCUGGGUAUACUGGCGGUCUUGAGCCACCUAGGGGCAACUGGAACAAGCGGUGGAGCGGUGAAAUGCGUAGAUAUCGCUUGGAACGCCAACGGUGAAAACAGGUUGCUGGGGGUGUGACUGACGCUGGAGACACGAAAGCCAGGGAAGCGAACGGG